rnacentral:rRNA from 1 species
UACGAGGGGGGCAAGCGUUGUUCGGAUUUAUUGGGCGUAAAGGGAGCGUAGGCGGACAGUUAAGUCAGUGGUGAAAGCCCAGAGCUCAACUCUGGAAUUGCCUUUGAUACUGAUUGUCUUGAGUAUGGGAGAGGUAUGCGGAACUCCGAGUGUAGAGGUGAAAUUCGUAGAUAUUCGGAAGAACACCAGUGGCGAAGGCGGCAUACUGGCCCAUUACUGACGCUGAGGCUCGAAAGCGUGGGGAGCAAACAGG